rnacentral:tmRNA from 1 species
CCCCUUUUAAUAUGGGUAAAAAAUGCCUAUAUUAACACUGUUGGGCAACCAACUAUGGCGAUAAACGUUGCAUGGAAUAAACGUUGCGGACCCGGGGGCGGUACCCGGCGCCUCCACCAUGAAUACAGAAUUUUUGCAGGUUUCCUGUAUUUUUGAUGGGGGCGAAAUAGGCUCGACGCGCGCAGUAAAGAUGUUAUUUUCGCUCGGCAUGAUACCACCGAUAUCGGGUCAUUUUUAUAAAUGCUAACGAUAAUAACGAAGCAUUUGCCGUAGCUGCUUAAUUGCACUACACGGGGUUCGGGGGGGCACCUGGCAACAGAAGCCCCUCCACU